rnacentral:lncRNA from 1 species
CCACAACGUGGUUUGAUGUGAAUUCGUGGGAUGUCAGUUAUAAUAAGAUUGUCAUCCCAUUGCUUGGCCUAGUGGCUGGAUUCUCAUUCAAUGAUCAAAUCAGGUCAGCAGAGUUGUUAACCGAAAACUCUAGUUUGAUUCUGAGUUGAAUCUUGCCAAUUCAGAGAGGGGAAAAACAAAAGAUGAAAAUCAGAAGCAAGAUUCGACAACUAUCAUGUGUCCCCUUCUGGAACCAUGCACCUACCUUCUGUCAAUUCACAGCUUCCUUCAUCUGGUGAAUCAGAUGCAUAUGAAUUUGGGUUUUGGCCCCUAUACCUCGAUUUGAUUGUAGUAGGCGACUUCCGGAGCCAUGUAACACUGCAACUCCAAAUAAGGCCCCAUCUACUGCUGCCCAUGUGGCUCUUUAGCCAUCCACAUUCAAUCUGAACCUAUAGACAAAUAGCUAACUUAAUUUAAACCCCACGUAGGCUUCAUGAGCUGCACGUGGGAAGUGAAGUGUUGAGAAAAGAAAUGUGGUAUUCCUUCAUCUUCAUCGGUUCAAAUGGCAAAAACAUACAGAAAUUGUCAAACUUAAGGAACAAACACUGGUCUGUCUAGGAAUCAGCCCAUGCCAUAUUCCUUCAAUAUGUCGAUGCAUCUUCGACACCCACAUCCAUAAAUUUGAUUGGUGUGGUCUUGUAUUAGUUUCUGGUAACCCAACCAGCAAUUUGAAAACGAACCUAUUCAUUGUUGGGCAGUCUGUCAAUUGGGAAAUUGCAUCCCGCACUUGGGUUAGAAGAUAUAGGGGACCUUGAAUUUAUGCUUUUAAGAAAUAUAUUCUUAAUUUGUCCUUUCAAAUUUGUGGGUGGUGGUUACUGGAUACCUUUUCCUCAGAACUUUACCAAACAUGGGAGAGGACUAACAGGCCUUAAAGAAAAGUAAAAAGUCUGAUUCUUUACUGAUGAGAAAAAGUAACAAAAUUAGUGUGAUUACAGAACAUCCAGGUAUAUUCAGAUUGCGACAGCUGAGUGCUAAGUUAAGUUUGAAGAGAAAGGUUUCCUGCUUUGAUUCAACUUGGGCAAUGGGUUGGUCCACCGGCAUUAAUGGGGGCCCUGACCCCAAACAACAUUGCAACUUCAGGUCUUAUAUUAAGGAAUAGUCUGGGUUGUGGUCAGAUCAAAGUAAUUUGGAGCUGAAAUCAUACAGUAAUUGGAGAGCAGAGUAGUGUCUCAUAAUUCUCAUUUUCAAAAACAAUAUGAAAGUGGAGUACUUCAAAAAGCAAAAGAACAAUGCAAGUGGGAUUGCAAGUGGUGGUAUUGUCACCAUACAAAGUGAUAUUUCCUCUUAUCUCACAGAAAUCCCAAACCAACCAACAAAGGAAGCCCAACUUUUAUAAUGAACAAUCUUCUCUUUAAGUCUUAACCAAGAGCCCAUGUCAAAAGAAUUUCACAUGAAUGAUGCCUCAUUACCCCCUUUUUUUUUGUCCUUUUUUUUGUCCCAUUCCCAAUUCAAAGCUGUCAUUACUAAUCAAAUCGUGAUUAUGGGAAAUGGCAUUUGAAUUUCUCCACCAAAACUUUGUAGACAUCUACACUCCUUCAUCCAAGGAGAAGCCAUUGGUGGAAUAUUUUAUGAUGUUUUCUGCAUGCAGUAUUAUUGCAAAUGUGUGAGCAGAGAAGGGAUUAGAGAAAAAAAAAAUGAAUUCAGAUCGGGGGGCUGACAGUUGGAAAUAGCCUAACCAGAGUGAGAAAAUAAGAAAGAAUACGCAUGAUUUUGGUUUGAAAAUUGACUGACUUGGAGGUUGUGUGACGAGGGAGAAGGGACAAUUGGGGAAAUGGUUAGCGUCAAAGAGUUCCUAUGAUUAGAAGAGAGAAGGAGGAGACAUUGUAUAAUGGGAUUGUCACAAACUAGAAAAACAUAACAAAGUGGGGUUGUCAAAACUCAGUACUCAAAAAAGCAUUACGACUAGGAGUCAUUUUCAAAUACCAAAACAUAUAAAAAUACUGUUUGAAACUCACGAGUGAUUUUGACUCUUAAACACUCACUACCUCUUAAGUCCAUGGAAUGUUUGAAAAACAAUGAGACACUGCUGAAAAAGCAGCGCCCACUUUUCUUUCUCUAUACCUCUCCCUCUCCAAUUUAAUGGCUUCUCAACAAGAAAACCAUCAGCAAUUUUAGUUUGACUCUUCUCCCUCAUGCUCGCUUCCCUGGCUUCCGAACCAAUAUCAACAAUUUUAGUUUGACUUUGCUUCCUAAUGCUAAUCUCUCUCUAAAAUUUUCUCGAGAAAAUGUGAAAAAAAAAAGUAAUAAUAGGAAAAGCACAUACGUGAGGCUUGAAAUGGGGUGUGAUGUGAUCUCCAAAUAUUGGUGAAGUGGGGUAUGGGGUGGUGAACCCCAACCCAUUCAAGUUGGCAAGUUGGAAUUAAAAAAUGUCAUGGCCUUGGUGUACACUACCUUGUUCUAGUAUCCAUGGCUCUACAUUUUUAUUACAAUAUAUAUAUAGUGGAAAAUAAUUGAACAUAGUCCAAUCCAUAGGGGAUUAUAUGGCAUGUUCUUUCCUUUCAUUCACUCACUCAUCUACUGGACUGAACACACUUAAUUAAUGCCCCCCUUCUGAGUUGACAAAUCCUCAGAAAUCUUCUUUGUUUUUUGUUGUUCCUCUUUAUUUUAUUUUAUUUUUUUGCCCUCUUUCAGAGGGCAAUGGGGGAGAUGGAAAAAUGGUCCUCCAUACAUCUAUCCCUCUGUUAUAUGCACCCAUGUUGUGAUUUCAACACCUGUAAGGCUCCCAGUGCAUGCCAAAACACAAUGAUGAAUUUUAUCAUUGGGUAUUAGGGGAGAGAUGUGGCUCUCCUCUUGUUUAUGUAAAUGAUAGGGAUAUGCUUUUUCAGAAACCCACCCCCCCCCACCCCCCAAAAAAAAAAAAAAAAAAAAAAAAAGAAUCCAUUCCAUGGCCUUUAUGUGCAAGAACCAUAGAAAUGAAGUGGUACCAAAUAGGUGUGGUUCAGUUGUUGAUAUUCAGGGAAAAAGAAAAAGAAAGAGGUGAAAAAGGCUUUCACACGCACGUUAAAGAUGCUUACACUAUGCCUUAAGCUAAAUCUCGACCCACUCGGUUGAAGAGAAAAAACCAAGUAAGAACUGUGGGAACUCAGAAAGACAUGAAUUCAUGAGUGGGUUAUUCAUAAUUCAGAAAGGGACUUUGAUAACUUUCAAGUCAAAAGCAGAAGAGCAGUGAAUCCAGUAAUAUACAACUUUACACAGAAGGGAAAUAAAUAAAUAAAAAAGAAAAAAAGGGUGAAGCUUUUCACUUUCCUACAGGGCUGUUGUUCUUUCCCAAAACGUAUCCAGGAUUUUUGCCAACUGUUUUCUGGGAAGGUAGUAAUUAGUAAUUCCACAUCUAUUUUCCGAAUCCAUAAAUGAAUAGAUGCAUACAUUGAAGGUGGAGUCUUAAAUGGAAGACUGAGUUUACAUCAGAAAUCAAGAUUCAACUGAAAUAGUGAUUUCAUCAUAGAAUUGCUACCAAAAAAAGGUCCUAUUCUUUUAUUACCAAACUAUAUACUUAUAUAUAUAAUAAAUACACAUUGACCUUUGAUUCACCCUCAAAAAUACAAAGAUUCCACCCAAAAAAAGAAAACCCUCAAAAAAUACCUAAUAAAUAAAAGAAAUUAAGGGGGGGAAAAAAAAAGGAGGGGAAAACAAAAGGGUGACACAGCACAUGCCACAAGGAGUGGUGGGGUCUCACCCUCGCUCUCUCUCUCUCUCUCUCUCUCUCUCUCUCUCUUACUCACUCAUCUCACCCAUGGUCACAAGGCACGGUCAUACAAGCGGGUUAGGGUGAGUCAACCCGUUGGGUAAGUGAACACGAACACAGGGGGACUCGACUCAGUUGGAGGCAGGUGUGGAGGAGGGCAAGGCAGGUUUGUUAGCGAGUUGCCAGGCGGAGGUGGCAAUGAGGGGGCGAGUGUGCCAACCCAGCAUCAGACACCCAUUGUUCUCCUCCACCCUGUACCCAUCCCCACCCGCGAAUAGAGCCAGCAGCAUACUCGCUUGCUUGAAAGCGUUGGACCCUAGGUUCACUGGGUCGAACCCCGCCGAUCCCAACCGGGCUCUCCACUGAGCCAGCGUUUCGUGCCGCUCCACUCGCUCAGGCCCCUCGCAGGCCACCACGUUACAGAUCUGUUGCCCCAAGUAUACCUCCGACAUCAGCUUGUCCUGGGUGUUCACCGGCGACACACCACACCCUUCCAAUGAGUCAAACAGAGUGGAGUAGUAGUGAAGCGACUCGGUGAACCGGUCUAGGAAAACGGGGCCGUUGUGGUUGGC